AGCAAAAGCAGCCAAAACCCUCACAAUUUGAUCAUCGUUCAAAAUCCCCAUUACCAUCAUCGCCGUCUUCACUCUCAGAUUAUCACCACACUUCACAAGCUCCUCCAUCACCGAUCUCAGCCUCUCGAUCAGUAAUUCCACGUGAUUCGCAUCUCCGUUCACCGCCGUCCUCGCCGCCUCCAUCAACCCUAGCGUCACCAUCCUCGCUUGAACCUUAACCACCUCCUCCUCCAAUUCCCUCUCUUAUUCUCUUACUUCUGCCGCCAAUCUUUCCAAUCUCCUCAUCUGCACCUUCGAUAGAUCCACCAUGUACUUCUCUACGAGUUGAAAAACGAGUCCUGGUUUGAACCCUGCGAUCCAGAGGAACGAGCGCUCCAGUGAGUUCAAUCAAGUCAGGGACAAACGAGAUUUAAAAAAUGGCUUCUUCUUCUAACAAUAACAAAAUAAGAUUACAACCGAGGUUGUGCAAUUGUGGAAAAACCGCUGCCAUAUAUAUUGUAAGAACCAAUGAGAAUGGAAAUCAAGGGCGUUUGUUCUUUGUUUGCCCGUCAAAAUAUAGUAACACUCCCACUCCCCAUUGCAAUUAGUUCAAGUUCGUGGAUGAAGAUGAUGAAGACGUUACGUCCAUAAUCCGUUCCAACACUCGAGCUUGUGAUGCUAUAACAGUAGAAGAUUUUAAUGAUGUAAGGACGAGGCUUGAUGACAUGGAAAAUGACUAUGGUCGAAGGCUUGAAAGGAUGGAAAAUAAUAUCAAAGCGAUGGUGUAUUUCAUUGUAUUUUCUAUCAUUUUGUACUUUAUGAUGUAACUUUUGUACUUUAUUGUAUUUUGGAAAAUUGAAUGGAAGGUUCUACCAUUUUGGGUUUUAUUGUACUUCAUGAUGUAACUUAUGUUUAUGGAAUGAAUUUUAAUGUUGAACUUAGAACUGCCAUUACUUCAUUAUGGA